rnacentral:tRNA from 3 species
GGAGAGGUGCUAGAGUGGUUGAAUAGGCCGGUCUCGAAAACCGGAGUACGGGCAACCGUACCGUGGGUUCGAAUCCCACCCUCUCCGCCA